AGCCAUGGUGACUUGCAAGCUCCAGUUUACUUCUUUUCUGCAGGCUCAGGUGAGCUAUCCUCCGCAGAUCUGUAAUGGUGCUGCUCAUGGGUUAGCUUGGUUUGCUACUACUGCUACACUUUCUCAAGUUGCAACCAAUCAACUAUAGAAACGAUGAAGGAAAACCAAGGCUCUAAUUCCUAAAGGAUGUAGGAACUAUCAAGACAAUUGUUAAUUCUAAGACUAGGUAUCAGGCACAACUACACCACUGUGUGGCUCUUAAGGUUCAAUUUAUGAGUAAUCUCUGGUAUCCAAACUUCCAAGCAAUCCUUUUAUAAGGAAAUUCUAGAUCUAUUCCCUUUCAGAAAAGAGAAAAUUAACUCUGGUUCAAUAUACCAACCAACAACAUAGGACUGCAACAAUAACACUGCCACCUGGCUAUCCCCCCACCCCCUUUCUCAAUCACAUGUAUACAAGAUUAAUGGUAUCAACCAUACAAAAUAAGAAUCAAGAAUAUCAAAGAAUCCCCAAUUCUCCCUGAAUAUAGCAGAACAGAUCCCUUUUGAAGUACUUGAUAACAGCUCAGUUUUUCUGAUAAUGCACAGGGAUCAAAUUCAUGAAUUCCAACUGAAAGUCUGAAAAAUUAUAGCCAUGAGGUGAUAUUCCAGAUUUUGAAUUUCAGAGUUGGUUGCUGUGUACAUCAAG